CAUGACAACCAAUAAUAGUAACAGACGUUUUCUUUAUCUGCUUCGUUUACAUAAACGUCUUUUGUCGUUUUACUCUUUAAUUCUGCUUAGUAUUGCGUUGCUGCAGUAAAAAAGGCUAAUGUGUUUGUUAUGUCAUAUCUUUUUAUUCUUUGCUGAAAGCUAUCUCAACGAUUGUAAUCGACCCCUUUUGUGGUUAAUAGUUAAGUAUAUCUUUAUAUUCACUGAUUCUAUAUAUUCCGACAUUUCGUCUCCUUUUUUUCUUACUUAUGCUUAUUCGCAUCUAUUAGAAGAAAAAAAGAGUAAGAAAUUUACGGUUGGGUGAGAUACGCUACAGCACUUCGCUUCAUUAUUUUCGUGAAAAACUACCAACAAUUGUAUCUCCUUUCAAUAUAAAUGCACAUUUUUAAAAACAGCUGUUACAUGAAAUAGAGUCUAAAGUUAAGUUUACCAAAAUUAAUUUUUUUGCCAAAAUGUUAUUAUUGUUCGCCUGUCCUUCACUUAACGUACAAGCAGUAGAGUUUGCUCUAACAAAAACGCUUGACUACGAAUGGGUGUGGUGGGAUGCAUAAAAUGUAUCUACAUGAUCCAAAUUUGGUGCAUUUGAUUUCUGUAUCAAACUGCUUGUAUAUGUACGAUGUAAGUUUUUUGCGCCAUUGUUUUUUGCUAUUACUACCGAAAGUUAUUGAAAAUUUUAUUUAUUUGCAGGAGCAACGAGCGAUAAUAUUUUGUUUGUAAAACGACCGAACUUUAUAGCGAUUGAAAAACGAGCGAACAAUACACAUAAAUAUGCAUACACGUUAAAGCAACAUAUAACUGAGUUAAACUAAAAGCUAUGCUAAAAAUUAGACUUUUUAUUAUAUAAAGGCUUAGAUUUGGUAGGGACACAGUAGGAAUAGAAAAAGGUGAUUGGGUCUAUACGUUAUAAUUGAAUAUAUCUUUUAAAGACUAAGCUUCGAUUUAUAUCGCCCAAAAUCGUAAAACUACUUUGGAAUCAACAAUUCAACACUCGAUUGAAGCUCCAUUUUGUUUGAAGGCAAGAUUUAUGCUCAGCCCAAUUAACUUUGUGGGUACUCAAAGAAAACUUUCUUAUAUCGCGCAAACAUUAAAUUUUAAGGAAACUUUUACUUCGAUACAUGCCCUCAUUUGCACGAGUGUUUACCUUAUUGAAGGCAACCUUACUGUGUUAGGGUAUAAAGAAAAUGGACGCAUAGGAACCAGAUCUCCCAGAUAUCCCAGAUGUUCUGGUCAACUUUUAAUUAAACAUAAAUAACUAACGUUAUAUUAAAUCUAUUUAAAAAUUCAUCUUAAAAAAAAAAAAUAUAUGUUAUGCUACGAGACUAACGAAACUCACAUAUAAAAUAAAAUAAAUACGUGAAGACUCGAAAAAAUAUUAUAAUAAAGUGCCAAAGGUAUGUACAUGUGUAUGUAUACAUAGUAAAGCAAUAAAGACCUAAAGCAGAGUAACAAAAACUAAGGUUUACAUACCGUAAGAGCGUAAUAAUAAGCGGAAUGGCGAGACAAUAAGGAUAACCACAAUAUAAAAGCAAUAAAAUAGAAUAACAACACCGAUAGCGCAUUUUAGUAUUAUCAGUGUAAAGGAUCAGAAUGGCGAAGUCAAGAACACCACAGUACGCUCACGGAAAAACUACGUUUAAGCAUUUAUUAAGCGACAAUUCACAAUGUAUACAUCCAGCGUGGCCAACAUUCUGGAUACUUUUCGUCUUCCUUAAUCCAGUCUUACCAGAAGUAAUUUUUCGUGUGGAUCCUUUGGCUUUGUUGGCGGCUACAUUGAGAACUUAUCAAAGGGCUGGAUGUGAUUCAGAAACAUUAGCGCUCAGCUGUCCACGUGGCACAAGCAUUUCGAUCGAAUUGGCACAGUACGGACGAGCUGGAGAUUCAACCGACCACAGCCUCUGUCCGCCCGCGUCACAAGAAGACUUUACUACUGUGAUCACUACAAGUGAGAAUGGCGGUAAUAAAGGCAUUGGAGUCAUUCAUAGCGGAACCCAAAGCGAACAUAAAACUGCAUUAUCCUGUGUUGUAAGUGGAUUACAGUAUGCGCUUCUUCAAACAGUGGUCGAUUCCUGCCAAAAGAAACGCCAUUGUAAGUUUUCCGCAAAUUCUAAGCCUUCGGCAAUUGGCAAUCAAUGCGCUGGCAUCCGAAAAUUUGUUGAGAUAGCGUAUAAAUGUCGUCCAUAUGAAUUUCGUUCAAAAGUUGCUUGCGAAAACGAGAGUAUGCCACUGAUGUGCAAUCCCUACUCGAGAAUAGCUGUAUAUAGUGCUUCUUUCGGAUACAUUGAACGCGAAAGCGUACAAUGCCCGCAUAACAACAGUGUGCAACAUAUACCAACAAGCAAUAUAAAACCGACUUGCCUGGUUUCUUAUGCUACCGAAACAGUUAUGCAAAUUUGUCACGGUCGACGACGUUGCUCAGUAACAGCGGACGCUGGGACAUUUGGAAGACCUUGCAAAAAUGAUAUUUCAAUGAGUCUAAAAGUCGUUUUUACAUGCAUACCUCGUAAAGUGCUCAAAGAUCGUUAUGAAACAGCCCCCGAAAUGGAUGAGCCACAACAGAGUGAAUUGGAUUUGGACCAAGAUGAACUAUAUGAUGAAGACCAGUUUUAUAAGGAAGAUGAAGCUAUACCACCAGCACCGAAGUUGCAAGGUGCAAUACCCAAUGCUGUCUAUCCCUUCGAUUCUAAAAUGCGUUUUCGAGAAACCACUACCACCCUAUUGCCAUCAAUACUUUCCCGCAACGAAAGCUCUCUAGAAGGUAUCACUGAUAAUUUGCCUGAUUUCAAUAAUAAAAAUGUAGUAUUUCAUAACCUCUCAAAAAUAUAUCGUGGCAAUGGAUUAGAUGUCUACACUUCCACAAAACUAGUUCCAGCAGAACGAUUAACAGAAUCGUCAUUGUUUUCUUCUACUUUGGUAAUUACAAGUAAAACCUGGAGGGAUAUUGGCGAUAAUAGAAACUUUUCUACUCUGCCAAAUUUCAUUUAUCGCAAGAGAUGCCGAACGGAGGAUGAUUGGGCAACAGUUGUCUUGAAUUGUACGGAUGAUGACAUUAUUAAUGAACGAGUUGCUGUUAUUGGUUUCCUAAUCAAUUGGGUUAAAGCAUAUAAUCACAUAAAACAACAUCAAGAGCAGUUUUAUCUUUAUUUAAUAAUAGCUGUAGCUGCUGGUAUGCUUUUAUGCGUGACUCUUGUAAUUGGACGACUCACGUUGCAGCGAAGGCGCGCUUGUUGCAAGAAUAGUCUAUCCAGUGUAAGCAACAACGAAAAGAUAGUCAGAGAUAAGGUGCAAAGUACUAGUGAUAAAGAUGGGAAGCAUCAACAAGUACCAGCGCGUGAUACCCAACCGAACGUCUCUUUCGGGGAUAACUUAUCUGACAUCGAUGCAGACGUUGAUUUGAGAACCCAAAUGCCGCUCUCCGGCCUAUCAUCACGAAAUGAGUCAUAUAUGACGUAUGCUCCUAACCAUAGUUGCAAUUUAGGUUCUUUGCGCGACAACCACACAUCUACGCAUUAUGGAACGGCAACCACUAUGCUUAUGCCUUCAACAUCCCAGCACAAUAAUUUAAUAAUGGCGGGAGAUCAUAAUGUAAAUAAUGUCAAAGUUUUGAGUUGUCCUGCAACAGUAGGCAAUCGGCAAAAUACACCUCCAACACCAUCUUCCCUUUACACUAGCAUAGGACUGUGUUCACUGUCCCUUGGUGGACCUAUCGGUACAGGCCAACAGACUUUAACAACAUCUGUAUUGAGCUCAGCAGCCAAUGAAUCGAUUGGAGCUUCAUCAUAUUUAAUGCCAGCGCCUCAACACUCUUAUGUCGGAACGCUACGGCGACAUUUACUACCUACAAGUGUGAUGGGAGAGUCAGCGUUGUCAUUUGCAAAUAAAUCAACCACAUCCAAUCCAAUAGUGGGUAUGCCGACAUCUUCAAAUAUCUAUUAUGAUACCACAAUACCACGACAUUUCGCCCGUGGCUUAACAAGCGACGAUUCGUCCCACUUUUAUGGGUGACAUUCGCUAAAUCGCAACAUAUCGCUGCCUAUUGGCGUAACAAUGCGACAAACACCAGUGCAUAUAAAUAUGUUGCCAUUAUCGGCGACAAGAAGCUCAAGGUUGGAAACAUCAUCUGCUGAAGCAACUUGUGAAAGUCGCACAUUUACCUCAACGUGUUCUUCUCAGAGUCAAGAGGUGCUACCUAAAUCCGUUGCAUCUUCACAUGGCACUCUAUCUGUGUCUGUGGUAGCGCAAAAGCAAACGCAAUACGACUGCUUAAGUAGGGCAAACAAUCAAAACACCAUAUCGCCAUCGCGUCAAACGGCUGUGAACAAAAGUACCAGGAAUCCAAUUGCUUUGGACGCUGGGAACGCUUCGGGUGGCCAUUAUAAAGGAUCAACGUGUGCGGCAGAUAAAAGUAAUCGUUUCUAAACUUCAUUGUAGACGACGUUAACAUAGUCUUUGACAUAUUACUAGGAAAUGCCGACUCACCAUGUGUAUUAAACAUUAUUUAUGAAUUGCAUGAUGUUAUUUUAAAGAAGAGCCCUACAAGGAUUUAGUACGUAAAGGUCGGAAAAUCUUAUAAUCCCGUUUCCAUGGUCCUGAAAAAUACUUUGCAAACUUCUACAAAUCAACCCAUCAAUUCGCCAUUGUCGAAAAUCUAGCGAUGAGCGUCUAGCAUUCACCCAGGAAUAUUAUAAGCUUUAUUCCUUCUCGUCAUUUACUGUCGAUUUAAUAAUAUAUAUAUAUAUACGAAUAUAUUGCGUGACGCAAAAUCCGUUAUCUCACAUUUCAAUACGUGUUUCGAAAAAACCGAUAAGCGCAAGUUUUUGUGAAAUAUUAUUUAGAGGAUAAACAAUAUCCACAUCAUAGCGUAUACUUAUGGGUAUAUUUGUAUGAAUAAACCAAGCAACACUGCAAUGAUUCGAAGCCCAAGAUCCGCAAUAAAAUAUUGUGGCAGAAAAGUAACAAAGGUUUAAUAUGAAUUGUCGUUCUGAAUAAAUCGUCAUUUCCGAUUUGUUCACUGUAAAUGCGUAUACUUCAUAGAAGUAGAAAUCUAAUCCACGUCAACCAAUAACCUAACAUGUUUAUGUGUAGGCGGGAAUGUUUUCAGAGGGGAGCACUUACAUGAUUCUGUUUGAAUGCACUUUGUUGUGCGAAGUUCAAUUAAAAAAUUUCACCAACAAUUUCAUACUUUAUGAUUUGCAUGUACACUAAUAAUUAAUAUGAAAUUUUCUCUCUAGGCACAUUAUGAAAUCCACUUGUCUCACUAGAUCAAAAGUUUCUGUAAAUUUGUUGUAAAAUUAAACAGUCUCACAAAUUUGUAUAGAUUUGGUAGUCAUAUAUGCGGAUGUUUUUAAUUAGACUAUUUUAUUAGACCUUACGGACAUGUACACACAUUUAAAACAGAUCAAUUUUGACGUAGAUUUUAUAUUUCAAUGAAUAUACAAUUAUUAAGACCAAGCUAAAAUAAGUUUAUUUAUAAUACAUAUACACCAAAAAAAAAAAAAAAAAAAAUGCAUGUUUGUAUAAAUGGCUACCAUACGCGUUUAGAAGCGUGAACGCAUACAAGUGAAUGCUACAAUGACUCCUACAGGAAUAAAAUUGUAAUGCACUGCCUCUGAUACAGUUCCCAUAAUAUUACCAAAAUACAGUGUUUGAUAUUGUUAAGCGUUCUGAAUUUAAUUAAGAAACAAGGUCAGCAUCCAAUAAAAACAAAGUUGGCAAAAAUAGUAA